rnacentral:rRNA from 1 species
UACGUAUGGGGCGAGCGUUGUUCGGAAUUAUUGGGUGUAAAGGGCGUCUAGGCGGGAGAUUAAGUUAGAUGUGAAAGGCGUGGGCUUAACCCACGAAUUGCAUCUAAAACUGGUUUUCUUGAGUUCGGGAGAGGAGAGCGGAAUUCUUGGUGUAGCGGUGAAAUGCGUAGAUAUCAAGAAGAACACCAGUGGCGAAGGCGGCUCUCUGGCCUAGAACUGACGCUGAAGCGCGAAAGCGUGGGUAGCGAACGGGAUUAGAUACCCCCGUAGUCCCUGAGCGGG